AUGCAAAUCUGCUGUGCAUCCAGAGAGCAAAGUGGGAUGAUCUGUCACUACACCUGCAGCACCACGCUCGGAGGACAGCUCCUGCCUGCAGCUUCCAGACCCAGGAAGCCUGAGGGGAAGGAAGGAAGUACGGGCGAAAUCAUCAGAUUGGCUUCCCAGAUUUGGGAAUCUGAAGCGGGCCCACAUCUUCCGGCCAACUUCCAUUGAACUUCCCAGCACUCGAAAGGGACCGAAAUGGAGAGCAAAGGUAUGUGGUUGUCCCUAUCGGGGGACUUCCCGCUGCAUGUGCGUGUGGCCAAGGCAAUCCUCGGCGAGGGGACUGCAGUGCUUGGGGAGCGAGCAUCAUACUAGGUCGAUAGAGGAGGAGAUGCUAUGUCCAUUGCAGCACUGGGGAAGUGUGGCAGGAAGGCGACUUCUUUUUAACUCCCACAGCUUGGAAGACAGUGUUUAAUACUCCAUCAGUUGCGUAGUGAACUGUGAUGAGUUUUUUGGGGGGAGGUGGGGAGAGUCCCCCCAAAAUGGAGGAGGAGGAGGAGGUAUGUGUUA
rnacentral:lncRNA from 1 species